rnacentral:rRNA from 1 species
ACGAACGCUGGCGGCGUGCCUAAUACAUGCAAGUCGAACGAACGGAGGAAGAGCUUGCUCUUCCAAAGUUAGUGGCGGACGGGUGAGUAACACGUGGGCAACCUGCCUGUAAGUUGGGGAUAACUCCGGGAAACCGGGGCUAAUACCGAAUGAUAAAGUKUGGCGCAUGCCAYGCUUUUGAAAGAUGGUUUCGGCUAUCGCUUACAGAUGGGCCCGCGGUGCAUUAGCUAGUUGGUAGGGUAAUGGCCUACCAAGGCAACGAUGCAUAGCCGACCUGAGAGGGUGAUCGGCCACACUGGGACUGAGACACGGCCCAGACUCCUACGGGAGGCAGCAGUAGGGAAUCUUCCGCAAUGGACGAAAGUCUGACGGAGCAACGCCGCGUGUAUGAAGAAGGUUUUCGGAUCGUAAAGUACUGUUGUUAGAGAAGAACAAGGAUAAGAGUAACUGCUUGUCCCUUGACGGUAUCUAACCAGAAAGCCACGGCUAACUACGUGCC